UCUAAAUGCAAAUAAUCUCAUCUAACCGGUUGUUUGCUAUUUUGCGAAAAAAAAAAAAAAAUUCGUUUGUACACAAUUUGCGAAAUCUUCAAUAUUUAUGCGGUUGUUUCACUAUAAUAUAUCGUCCGUGAUAUUAUUAGAAGGUAGCCUAUGAUAAAAAAAAAAAUAAAUAAAUAAAAAAAUACAUACCAAAAGAAUAUAUAUUUAUUAAAUAAUUUAUAUAAUGUCAACACGUGAAAUAAAUCAGAAACGUUCAGAAUCUAAAAACUAUUUUAAAAAAUUAAAAUUAAUCGCAAUAUUAAAAUGAGAAAAAAUAAUUUAUUUUUACAUUAUAAUAAUUCACCAAAUAAAUACCGAUUAGGUACGUACAAUCCGAGAUGGUGUUAAAGUAUUUUAUUUAAAUUUUUAUUGACAUCUUAAACAUCUUAAGUACUUCCUUCAUCGAGUAGGAAUCGAUUAUCGUAUACGUAUUAAUAAAAAUAUGUCUACAAAACCGUGUGCGAGUACUCUGGGAAAUAUUUAAAUAUAUUUUUAUAAUAUUUGAGUUUGUAAAAUGUGUAUAUAUUUACAGGGUGCAUUGCAAAAUCUUCAGAGAUAAUACAUUUAAUCAAAUCGGUU